CCUACGGGAGGCUGCAGUGGGGAAUAUUGGACAAUGGGGGCAACCCUGAUCCAGCCAUGCCGCGUGUGUGAAGAAGGCCCUCGGGUUGUAAAGCACUUUCAGUGAGGAAGAACGCCUGGUGGUUAAUACCCAUCAGGAAAGACAUCACUCACAGAAGAAGCACCGGCUAACUCCGUGCCAGCAGCCGCGGUAAUACGGAGGGUGCGAGCGUUAAUCGGAAUUACUGGGCGUAAAGCGCGCGUAGGUGGCUUGAUAAGCCGGUUGUGAAAGCCCCGGGCUCAACCUGGGAACGGCAUCCGGAACUGUCAAGCUAGAGUGCAGGAGAGGAAGGUAGAAUUCCCGGUGUAGCGGUGAAAUGCGUAGAGAUCGGGAGGAAUACCAGUGGCGAAGGCGGCCUUCUGGACUGAAACUGACACUGAGGUGCGAAAGCGUGGGUAGCAAACAGGAUUAGAUACCCGUGUAGUC
rnacentral:rRNA from 1 species